rnacentral:lncRNA from 1 species
GUCGGCCUGCGCUGCUCGGAGCUUCCGGAGCACCCAGGCUGAGCCGCGCCCGCCGCAACCACCUAGAAGAAGCCCAGCCUGGCCCUGGCACACGGUGAACCUUAAUCGAUUUGUUUAUAGGCAAGAUGAGCAAUCAUGAAUGAAGUAUGACAAUGAAUGAAAGUUCUGAGGGAGACCCUUGAAGGCUGCAGUGAAGAGCUGGGAUGAUGGCGGGAACCCCUGUCUGCUCUGCUGCUCAUCGGCCUGUCCGUCUGCAGGGCCGUGUUCAUGGCUGCAAAUGGUCCUCCGUGUUUUGUUUAAAUUGGCAUGCCCUACUUUAGAGAAAGGGAGUUCAGGGUCUGGACAGAAAGCAGUAUAGGCUUCAGCAUUCCAGGAGUCUGAGUGUAGUGCCAGGCAGUCGAGCAGUCACCAUUGCACUCACAUUUAUCCAACAGACAGAAACACAGUGAAUAAGACACUUUAGAUGCCUUCAGUGGACUUCUUUGCCCUCCUACAUGGGGAGUGGGUGGGGGUCUGGAAAGGCUUUCUAAAGGAGCUGAAGUCCAAGGGAAAACCUGAAGAAAUAUGGAUAGAAUAGAUUAGAAGGAAUGUCACGUGCAAAGCCCUAGCGACAGGAUAGGAACACCAGGGAACAGGGGGAAGAGGCCAGCAGGAGCCAGGGUGUGGACAGCCUAGUGCACCAAGGCCAGGGCUUUGCCUGAUCCUGAGGCCAACACAGCGCCAUCAGAGGGUCAGGGACAUAGG